CCCUUUACUUCUGAACACCACACAUGUAAACUGUUUUUUUACAUGAUUUGAGCAACAAGAAAUAAAGUUGAAAAUACCAUAGAGUCCUUGCAUUUCCAAAAUCCAAGACGAGAAGAAGAAAAACUCCACAUGCUUAAAGAUGCACCUUCAGAUCACCUCACAAAAAAAGUCACGAUUUUGAAAAAUAUAAGAGAUAUUAGAUUCUGCACAAACGUAAAAUAACCCAACAUAAAACAACAACCAUGUACAAUAAACCAGUAAUAACUCACCUUUGAAAAAAGAUGAAACCCCAAAAGAUCAAAACCUUACAUCCUCAAGCCUAAUCUGGAAAAGAGAAAGAAGCAAUGCAGUGUAGUUUAUGC
rnacentral:lncRNA from 1 species